AACGAACGCUGGCGGUAUGCUUUACACAUGCAAGUCGAACGCGAACGUACCUUCGGGUACUAUUAGAGUGGCAGACGGGUGAGUAACGCGUGGGAACCUACCUUGUAGUACGGAAUAGCCAUUGGAAACGAUGAUUAAUACCGUAUACGCUCUUCGGAGGAAAGAUUUAUUGCUAUAAGAUGGGCCCGCGUUAGAUUAGUUUGUUGGUGAGGUAAUGGCUCACCAAGACUACGAUCUAUAGCUGGUUUGAGAGGAUGAUCAGCCACACUGGAACUGAGACACGGUCCAG
rnacentral:rRNA from 1 species